ACAAAGAAUCAGAUUACUAUCAAGACAUCCAAAGUCCAAACACAAUAAACAACAAUCUCUAGUUUCUCGAAGAAACAAACAAAUUGGAAAUGGGAGAAGUGCACAAAUUGAGUUAAACAACAAAGAUUUGGUACCCAUACUUGGUUUUGUUCUCUCUUUUGACCCUCUCUCGGAGGUCUGACGCACAAAUUCCCUUCGCUUGCUCCCCACUCACCGACCACUAUCCUCUCUAAAAACGACUAUUAUCUANUACUUAUCAUGAUCUUGCCUUCGUCUCUCGCUCCUUCCCAUUUCUGAAAGAAAAAUGAACCAUGACCAAUCGAAAGAGAAAUCAAUGAAAAGAGAAGGAAGAGACGAACCAGUGCGAGGAAGAAAGAAGAAAACGAACGUGCGAGGAAGAAAGGGAGAAAGGAAUGAAAACAAAGAAAUGAAGGAAGGGAUUUUAGGGUUCAGAGGNAUUUUUUAGAGGGAAAAAGGGUUUUGAUUGUUAGAGGGAAAAAGGGUUUAGUNUGAUUUUUAGAGGGAGAUGGGAUUUUGGAUUCAGNACAAUGAAAUUUUACAAUUUAGAAAAAAAAUUAGUUUAAAAUUUUUAAAGAGAAGAAAAGUAAAAAAAUUAGGAAAUAAAGGAAGAAAAUAUAUUAUUAUUUGAAGGGGUUAUAAACCUCCCUUGAACAUGAUUAAAACUCCCACUAUUUUGGACAGUUAGAUAAUUUAGAUUAAACAUUUUAUAAUAUGUUAAUUUGAGGGGGGUUUUUUAUAACCUCCGCUAGAUAACCUCUUCUAAAUAAGGUUUUUUUUGUAGUGUAAAACACUUAAGUUAAGUCUCUUAAGAGUCAAAAGUUGGUUUUAGAGAUAUUAUGCUUGUUUUGCAUUGUUUUCCAGGGUUUUUCGAUGAAUUAAAGAUGGAAGUAAAGUAAGGUUGACUUAGACCCAUAAAAGAAGGAGAAAAAUGAUGAAAAUAAGGGUCAAACAAGUUGUUGAGGACCAGAAUGGACCGCUGAGCGCUCAGAGCGAUUAGAGGCAAACCACUGAGCGGUCAAAUUAGGCGCCUGGGCGGUUGUCUGUUUUUUUAGCUAGAUUCUGUAAAUCUUUCUGUUAUUUAUCUGUUAUCUUUUUGGGCUUAUAUAUAGCCCCAGUGUGAAUUAGAUAGGGAUUCUUUUGGCAGAGAGAACGUCCAGAGCCAUUCCACACACCUUGGAGGAGAUUUAUUGGAUGCUUAGGCUCCUUCUUAUAAAAUCUAGGGUUUGCUUUUUACAUUCAUUCAUUAUUUUCAUCUAGUUUCACCAUGUCAAUGGUGAACUAAACCCUUUGUUGUUGGGGAACAAUGUAAUCUUUUGAAACUCUCAUAUAUUGAAAUUCUUAUUUAUUUUCAUAUGCUUGUCAUAUACUUGUUUAUCAAUUGUUGGGUUCUCAUCUAUGCUCAAAGCUUUUAUUGUUUAACUCAUUCAAUAANACAAUGAAAUUUUACAAUUUAGAAAAAAAAUUAGUUUAAAAUUUUUAAAGAGAAGAAAAGUAAAAAAAUUAGGAAAUAAAGGAAGAAAAUAUAUUAUUAUUUGAAGGGGUUAUAAACCUCCCUUGAACAUGAUUAAAACUCCCACUAUUUUGGACAGUUAGAUAAUUUAGAUUAAACAUUUUAUAAUAUGUUAAUUUGAGGGGG
rnacentral:lncRNA from 1 species